AAGUAAACGGUCCCGCAUCCUCCAAUCCAAUCCAACCAAGAACAGCCCUAUUUUUCUUUUUCUUUUCAAUGUUUAAAUCAGCUCUUAGUGUCACAAAAAUGGUGUAAUUAGGGUUUUUGAGUUUGGAUUUUUUGUAAAUUCUAUCAGUUUCAUUCUCAACUACUGCUCAACACUUGAUUAAUUCAUAUAUAUAAACAAAUUCUUGACAUUUCUCUGCAAUUAUCUCUCUCUUUCUCUCUCUACAUCGCAAAAGGCUUCAAUCCGAGUAUCAAUUCUACACGGUGGUAGUCUGGAAGAGAUCAGCCAUCAAUGAGGAAAGGAGGCUUCAGCAACAACCUCAAUCUCAAGCUCAAUCUUCCUAAAGAAGACCAAUCCAUAGCGACGUUCCUAACGCAGAGUGGCACGUUUAAAGAUGGUGAUCUGCUUGUAAACAGAGAUGGGGUUCGGAUUGUUUCUCAAAGCGAAGUUGAAGCACCACCUCCGAUUAAGCCUACAGAUGAUCAGUUGAGUUUAGCGGACAUAGACAUUAUUAAAGUCAUUGGAAAAGGAAAUGGUGGUACUGUGCAAUUAGUUCAGCACAAAUGGACUGCUCAGUUUUUUGCAUUGAAGGUAAUUCAGAUGAAAAUUGAAGAGUCUCACCGCAAGCAGAUUGCACAAGAACUGAAAAUCAAUCAAUCAGCGCAGUGCCCUUAUGUUGUUGUCUGUUACCAGUCUUUCUAUGAUAAUGGAUCAAUAUAUAUCAUCCUAGAGUACAUGGAUGGAGGAUCUUUAGCAGAUUUUUUAAAAAAGGUUAAAAAAAUUGAAGAACCAUAUCUUGCUGCCCUUUGUAAGCAGGUACUGAAGGGGUUGUCUUACCUUCACCAUGAAAGACACAUCAUCCAUAGGGACUUGAAGCCUUCAAAUUUAUUAAUAAACCAUAGAGGGGAAGUCAAGAUUACUGACUUUGGUGUGAGUGCAAUUAUGGAAAACACAUAUGAAGAGGCUAAUACUUUUGUUGGCACGUAUAACUAUAUGUCCCCAGAGAGAAUUGUGGGAGAGGGAUAUGACAAUAAAAGUGACAUUUGGAGCUUGGGUCUGAUAUUACUUGAGUGUGCAACCGGAAAGUUUCCUUAUUCUCCACCCGGGCAAGAUGGAGGAUGGGUUAAUUUUUAUGAGCUUAUGGAAGCCAUUGUUGAAGGCGAACCUCCUUCUGCUCCGGCUGACCAAUUUACUCCUGAAUUCUGUUCAUUUAUUUCUGCAUGUGUGCAAACAGACCCAAAGAAUAGACUGUCAGCACGUGAACUUUUGGAACAUCCUUUCAUCAAGAUGUAUGAAGAUAAGGAUAUUGAUCUAUCAUCUUACUUCAAUGAUGCAGGAUCUCCACUUGCAACUUUCUAAAUUUUAUCUGCAAGAUGAAGAUCAAACUUCUGACCUUUUAGGCCAUAUAAGAGCACACAAGGACAAGCGGCUUAGAUGAAACCUGUUUCAAACUUAUAUGUUGAUCGUCUCUGGCUCGUACACUGGAAUCUUAUUUGUUUGCUGCUUGCUGCAAGGAUGGACGAGGAGUCCGCUGGGAUCUCGGUUUCUCAUGAAUGCUGCUUGUUUUACUUCAGUUUGUGUCUUAAUGAAAGAGGUUUCAAUCAAAACUGGAUGAUAUAGUUGUUCCUAUGCUGGUCACUAAUUUGGAUGAUUCUGAUCCUUCUUGUGGAUGGCUCAGAAUGCUAAACGGGAUAUGAUGUUGUGUAAAGAGAUUUCAAAUCAUGGCCAUUUCUUGUAACAUUUUGUAAUCCAAUUCCACCGCUACUCAUGUAAAAUUUGAAGCAUCAAAGGAAAAUAAAUACAUAUUGUUAUCUCAA